AUGAGGCUACUCACCAUCAUCCCAAAGAUCAAGGUCAAAGAGAAGGAGAUGCGCAUUCUCAUGGUGGGUCUGGACAACUCAGGGAAGACGACGAUCGUGCUCAAGGUCAAUGGGAAGGACACGAGCGUCAUAAACCCCACCCUUGGCUUCAACAUCAAGACCGUCAAGUAUCACAAAUGCUCCUUGAACAUAUGGGAUGUUUGCAGAUGGGAUGUUGGGGGAUCUUAUUGGAGGAAUUACUUUGAGCAGACUGGUGGACUAGUUUGGGUGGUUGAUAAUUCGGAUAUUUGCAGGCUUGAUGAUCGCCAUGCUGAACUCCAUAAUCUCUUGAAGGAAGAGGUACUACUUCUGGGGCACCAGGAGAGUGAUGUUUUAUGA
rnacentral:rRNA from 1 species